rnacentral:rRNA from 1 species
CCUACGGGAGGCAGCAGUGGGGAAUAUUGGACAAUGGGCGAAAGCCUGAUCCAGCCAUGCCGCGUGUGUGAAGAAGGCCUUCGGGUUGUAAAGCACUUUCAGUGGGGAAGAAAGCCUUGGGGCUAAUACCCUCGAGGAAGGACAUCACCCACAGAAGAAGCACCGGCUAACUCCGUGCCAGCAGCCGCGGUAAUACGGAGGGUGCGAGCGUUAAUCGGAAUUACUGGGCGUAAAGCGCGCGUAGGCGGUCUGAUAAGCCGGUUGUGAAAGCCCCGGGCUCAACCUGGGAACGGCAUCCGGAACUGUCAGGCUAGAGUGCAGGGGAGGAAGGUAGAAUUCCCGGUGUAGCGGUGAAAUGCGUAGAGAUCGGGAGGAAUACCAGUGGCGAAGGCGGCCUUCUGGACUGACACUGACGCUGGGGUGCGAAAGCGUGGGUAGCAAACAGGAUUAGAUACCCGUGUAGUC